CCUACGGGUGGCAGCAGUGGGGGAUAUUGCACAAUGGGCGAAAGCCUGAUGCAGCAACGCCGCGUGGGCGAUGAAGGCCUUCGGGGCGUAAAGCCCUGUCCUCAAGGAAGAUAAUGACGGUACUUGAGGAGGAAGCCCCGGCUAACUACGUGCCAGCAGCCGCGGUAAUACGUAGGGGGCUAGCGUUAUCCGGAAUUACUGGGCGUAAAGGGGGCGUAGGUGGUUUCUUAAGUCAGAGGUGAAAGGCUACGGCUCAACCGUAGUAAGCCUUUGAAACUGGGGGACUUGAGUGCAGGAGAGGCAGGUGGAAUUCCUGGUGUAGCGGUGAAAUGCGUAGAUAUUAGGAGGAACACCGGUGGCGAAGGCGGCCUGCUGGACUGUAACUGACGUUGAGGCACGAAAGCGUGGGGAGCAAACAGGAUUAGAUACCCCGGUAGUC
rnacentral:rRNA from 1 species